rnacentral:rRNA from 1 species
GAUGAACGCUGGCGGCGUGCCUAAUACAUGCAAGUCGAGCGAACGGACGAGAAGCUUGCUUUUCUGAUGUUAGCGGCGGACGGGUGAGUAACACGUGGAUAACCUACCUAUAAGACUGGGAUAACUUCGGGAAACCGGAGCUAAUACCGGAUAAUAUUUUGAACCGCAUGGUUCAAAAGUGAAAGACGGUCUUGCUGUCACUUAUAGAUGGAUCCGCGCUGCAUUAGCUAGUUGGUAAGGUAACGGCUUACCAAGGCAACGAUGCAUAGCCGACCUGAGAGGGUGAUCGGCCACACUGGAACUGAGACACGGUCCAGACUCCUACGGGAGGCAGCAGUAGGGAAUCUUCCGCAAUGGGCGAAAGCCUGACGGAGCAACGCCGCGUGAGUGAUGAAGGUCUUCGGAUCGUAAAACUCUGUUAUUAGGGAAGAACAUAUGUGUAAGUAACUGUGCACCUCUUGACGGUCCCUAAUCAGAAAGCCACGGCUAACUACGUGCCACCAGCCGCGGUAAUACGUAGGUGGCAAGCGUUAUCCGGAAUUAUUGGGCGUAAAGCGCGCGUAGGCGGUUUUUUAGUCUGAUGUGAAAGCCCACGGCUCAACCGUGGAGGGUCAUUGGAAACUGGAAAACUUGAGUGCAGAAGAGGAAAGUGGAAUUCCAUGUGUAGCGGUGAAAUGCGCAGAGAUGUGGAGGAACACCAGUGGCGAAGGCGACUUUCUGGUCUGUAACUGACGCUGAUGUGCGAAAGCGUGGGGAUCAAACAGGAUUAGAUACCCUGGUAGUCCACGCCGUAAACGAUGAGUGCUAAGUGUUAGGGGGUUUCCGCCCCUUAGUGCUGCAGCUAACGCAUUAGGCACUCCGCCUGGGGAGUACGACCGCAAGGUUGAAACUCAAAGGAAUUGACGGGGGCCCGCACAAGCGGUGGAGCAUGUGGUUUAAUUCGAAGCAACGCGAAGAACCUUACCAAAUCUUGACAUCCUUUGACAACUCUAGAGAUAGAGCCUUCCCCUUCGGGGGACAAAGUGACAGGUGGUGCAUGGUUGUCGUCAGCUCGUGUCGUGAGAUGUUGGGUUAAGUCCCGCAACGAGCGCAACCCUUAAGCUUAGUUGCCAUCAUUAAGUUGGGCACUCUAAGUUGACUGCCGGUGACAAACCGGAGGAAGGUGGGGAUGACGUCAAAUCAUCAUGCCCCUUAUGAUUUGGGCUACACACGUGCUACAAUGGACAAUACAAAGGGCAGCGAAACCGCGAGGUCAAGCAAAUCCCAUAAAGUUGUUCUCAGUUCGGAUUGUAGUCUGCAACUCGACUACAUGAAGCUGGAAUCGCUAGUAAUCGUAGAUCAGCAUGCUACGGUGAAUACGUUCCCGGGUCU